ACCACAUCACAAGCAACACAGAACUAAUUGUCCAAAUAUCUGCCCACAAAUCUUGUCACCGUGUACGCAGUUCAUUAAGUGUGUCUUCUCAGGUGAAGAUGGAAUCACAUAGGAUGUUAAAGCUGCGUUAUCACUUCUGGUUGGACUAGGAUCAAGAAAUGAAUUCAAGGAACAGCCAAUGUCAUAGAACCAUCCCUCCAAUGAGAUGCCAGAAGGAUGAAAAGAUUUUAUCUUCCCUCUUGUGUUUCGCAAAGCUCAAUUGAAACCAAGACUGUCUCCUUUUUCUUCACCAAUAUUCAUCCAUGACUAUAUAAGACGCUCCUGUAGGGUAAGAACUAUGUUUUGUCUGUCUGUGGCUCCAGCCCAGUGAUGGUCAUGAGUAGGCACUAAACCUGUGCUAGGAUUGUUUAUUAAUAUCCAAUAAUCAAUAAUGAUUCUUAAUAUCAAUAAGUACAAAUUUUAUUAAUGGCAACUCAGGGUGGUUAGUGACUUGUCUCUUUUCCCUUC